UGGGGAAUAUUGGACAAUGGGCGAAAGCCUGAUCCAGCCAUGCCGCAUGAGUGAAGAAGGCCUUUGGGUUGUAAAGCUCUUUUAGUGAGGAAGAUAAUGACGGUACUCACAGAAGAAGUCCUGGCUAACUCCGUGCCAGCAGCCGCGGUAAUACGGAGAGGGCUAGCGUUAUUCGGAAUUAUUGGGCGUAAAGGGCGCGUAGGCGGAUUAGUAAGUUAAAAGUGAAGUCCCAAGGCUCAACCUUGGAAUUGCUUUUAAAACUGCUAAUCUAGAGAUUGAAAGAGGAUAGAGGAAUUCCUAGUGUAGAGGUGAAAUUCGUAAAUAUUAGGAGGAACACCAGUGGCGAAGGCGUCUAUCUGGUUCAAAUCUGACGCUGAGGCGCGAAGGCGUGGGGAGCAAACA
rnacentral:rRNA from 1 species